rnacentral:rRNA from 1 species
AGCAUAUCAAUAAGCGGAGGAAAAGAAACCAACAGGGAUUGCCCUAGUAACGGCGAGUGAAGCGGCAACAGCUCAAAUUUGAAAUCUGGCGCAAGCCCGAGUUGUAAUUUGUAGAGGAUGUUUCUGGCGACGUGCCUUCCGAGUUCCCUGGAACGGGACGCCAUAGAGGGUGAGAGCCCCGUACGGUUGGAUGCCUAGCCUCUGUGAAACUCCUUCGACGAGUCGAGUAGUUUGGGAAUGCUGCUCUAAAUGGGAGGUAUACGUCUUCUAAAGCUAAAUACCGGCCAGAGACCGAUAGCGCACAAGUAGAGUGAUCGAAAGAUGAAAAGCACUUUGAAAAGAGGGUUAAAAAGUACGUGAAAUUGUUGAAAGGGAAGCGUUUAUGACCAGACUUGGGCAGGUUGAUCAUCCGUGGUUCUCCGCGGUGCACUCUGCCUGCCCAGGCCAGCAUCAGUUUUCCCCGGGGGAUAAAGGUUUCGGGAAUGUGGCUCCUCCGGGAGUGUUAUAGCCCGUUGCGUAAUACCCUGGGGUGGACUGAGGUUCGCGCAUUGCAAGGAUGCUGGCGUAAUGGUCAUCAACGACCCGUCUUGAAACACGGACCAAGGAGUCGUCUUCGUAUGCGAGUGUUCGGGUGUCAAACCCCUACGCGUAAUGAAAGUGAACGUAGGAGAGAGCUUCGGCGCAUCUCCGACCGAUCCUGAUGUUCUCGGAUGGAUUUGAGUAAGAGCAUACGGGGCCGGACCCGAAAGAAGGUGAACUAUGCCUGUAUAGGGUGAAGCCAGAGGAAACUCUGGUGGAGGCUCGCAGCGGUUCUGACGUGCAAAUCGAUCGUCAAAUAUGGGCAUGGGGGCGAAAGACUAAUCGAACCUUCUAGUAGCUGGUUUCCGCCG